rnacentral:rRNA from 1 species
UACGUAGGUGGCUAGCGUUGUUCGGAUUUAUUGGGCGUAAAGGGUUCGUAGGGGGCAUGUCAAGUCUGACGUGAAAGCCCGAGGCUCAACCUCGGAAUUGCGUUGGAGACUGACAAGCUAGAGCGUCGGAGAGGAGAGCGGAAUUCCAGGUGUAGCGGUGGAAUGCGUAGAUAUCUGGAAGAACACCAACAGCGAAGGCAGCUCUCUGGUCGAAUGCUGACCCUGAGGAACGAAAGCGUGGGUAGCAAACAGGAUUAGAUACCCUGGUAGUCCACGCCGUAAACGUUGCGCGCUUGGCCUGGGUGGAUUCAACCCCAUCCGGGUCGGAGCUAACGCGUUAAGCGCGCCGCCUGGGGACUACGGCCGCAAGGCUAAA